ACUCAUACCUUGCAGAGAAAAUACCAUGUCAUAAAAGUGGUUUUCCCAGGGGGAGGCUUAUCCAUUGCACUUUGGGUGUGCUGCUGAUCUCUGUGAUUUUCCCCAAAUGUGAGAAACUCAACCUCAUAAUUUGUGUUUCACAUUUGUGAUU
rnacentral:snRNA from 1 species